rnacentral:SRP_RNA from 1 species
GCCAGGCAUGGUGGUGCAUGCCUGUAGUCCCAGCUACUCGGGAGGCUGAGGUAGGAGAAUCGCUUGAACCCGGGAGGCAGAGGCUGCAGUGAGCCAAGAUCAUGCCACUGCACUCCAGCCUGGGUGACAGAGUGAGACUCCAUCUCAA